AAGUCGUAACAAGGUUUCCGUAGGUGAACCUGCGGAAGGAUCAUUACUGAGUCUUUGAAGUGGGUUUGAUGCUGGCCUUCCGAGGUAUGUGCUCGCCCUACUCUCAUCCACUCACACCUGUGCACCUUACGUUGAAGUAGUAAUCGUGUCCCUCUCGGGGUGGCAGGCUAGGGAGACCUAGCUAAUGGUUGCUGCUUUGCGUUACUUUACACAAACUCUUUGAAUGUAUUAGAAUGUCUAUUGGCCUACGGGCUUUAAUGAAAUACAACUUUCAACAACGGAUCUCUUGGCUCUC
rnacentral:misc_RNA from 1 species